UACGUAGGCUCCAAGCGUUGUUCGGAAUUACUGGGCGUAAAGCGAGUGUAGGCGGUCUGCCAAGUCGAUUGUGAAAUCUCCCGGCUCAACUGGGAGGGUGCGGUCGAAACUGACAGACUCGAGUUCGGGAGGGGAGAGUGGAAUUCCUGGUGUAGCGGUGAAAUGCGUAGAUAUCAGGAGGAACAUCGGUGGUGAAGACGGCUCUCUGGACCGAUACUGACGCUGAGACUCGAAAGCGUGGGGAGCAAACAGG
rnacentral:rRNA from 1 species